rnacentral:tRNA from 1 species
UGGGAUGUAGUUCAGCGGUAGAGUGCAUGCUUUGCAUGUAUGAGGUCCCGAGUUCAUUCCCUGGUAUCUUCA